GGGGCGUGAGAGCGCGGACCCCCACACUGGCACUGAGAUACGGACCAUACUCCUACGGGAGGCAGCAGUAACGGAUAUUGCGCAAUGGACGAAAGUCAGACGCAGCGACGCCGCAGUGGGCGAUGAAGGCCUUCGGCGUUGUAAGAGCCCAUUUCAUGUGGGUCAAGAGGAAAACAGGACGUGUACCCCAGCGAAGUAAGUCCCGUGCUAACUACGCUGCCAUGCAGCCGCGGUAAAACGUAGGGGACAAAGCGUUUCACGGAUUCACUGGGCGUAAAGAGCGUUGAGCCGCUUUCCGUAACUUGGGCAUGAAAGCUCCGGGCUUAACUCGGCGAUGUCGCUUCAUCCUGCCGGGGCUUGAGGCCUGCAGCGGAAGCUGCAUUUCCCGGUGUAUUGGUGAAAUGCGUAGAUAUCGGGAGGAACACCCGUGGCGAAGCCGGCCUUCUGGGCUGUUCCGGACACUGAAGGCGAAAGCUAGGGGACCGUACGGGAUUAGAUACCCCAGGUAGUCCCUAGCUGUAAACGAUGGAUGCUGGGUCUGGGGGGUGUAAAUUCCCUCUGUGCCGAAGCACACGCGUUAAGCAUCCCGCACUGGGGACUACGCCCGCAAGGCUAAAACUCAAACGAAUUGACGGGGGCCCGCACAAGCACCGGAGUCGUGUGGUUUAAUUCGAUGCUACACGAUAGAACCGUACCUUGGCCUUUGACAUGCACGUCGCUACGGGAAUCAGUAAAGGGGACCGACCUUCGGGUAGCGUGCACAGGUCCUGCAUGGCUGUCGUCAGCUCGUACCGUGAGGUUUCGGGUUAAGUCCCGUAACGAGCGCAACCGUUGCCCUUAGUUACAAGUGUCUAAUGGGGACUGCCCGGGGACAAUCUGGGAGGAAGUUGGGG
rnacentral:rRNA from 1 species